rnacentral:rRNA from 1 species
GUCGAACGGUCACCCUCGGGUGAUAGUGGCGGACGGGUGAGUAACGCGUGAGAAUCUAACUUCAGGACGGGGAUAACGACGGGAAACGGUCGCUAAUCCCGGAUGUGCCGAAAGGUGAAAGGUUUACCGCCUGGAGAAGAGCUCGCGUCUGAUUAGCUAGUUGGUGGGGUAAGAGCCUACCAAGGCGACGAUCAGUAGCUGGUCUGAGAGGAUGAGCAGCCACACUGGGACUGAGACACGGCCCAGACUCCUACGGGAGGCAGCAGUGGGGAAUUUUCCGCAAUGGGCGAAAGCCUGACGGAGCAAUACCGCGUGAGGGAAGAAGGCUCUUGGGUUGUAAACCUCUUUUCUCUGGGAAGAAGACCUGACGGUACCAGAGGAACAAGCAUCGGCUAACUCCGUGCCAGCAGCCGCGGUAAUACGGAGGAUGCAAGCGUUGUCCGGAAUUAUUGGGCGUAAAGCGUCCGCAGGUGGUUAUACAAGUCUGCCGUUAAAGACAGUAGCUUAACUACUGAAAGGCGGUGGAAACUGUAAGACUAGAGUACGGUAGGGGUAGAGGGAAUUCCCAGUGUAGCGGUGAAAUGCGUAGAGAUUGGGAAGAACACCAGUGGCGAAAGCGCUCUACUGGGCCUGUACUGACACUAUUGGACGAAAGCUA